AUACGUAGGGUGCAAGCGUUAAUCGGAAUUACUGGGCGUAAAGCGUGCGCAGGCGGUUUUGUAAGACAGAGGUGAAAUCCCCGGGCUCAACCUGGGAACUGCCUUUGUGACUGCAAGGCUGGAGUGCGGCCGAGGGGGAUGGAAUUCCGCGUGUAGCAGUGAAAUGCGUAGAUAUGCGGAGGAACACCGAUGGCGAAGGCAAUCCCCUGGGCCUGCACUGACGCUCAUGCACGAAAGCGUGGGGAGCAAACAGGAUUAGAUACCCUGGUAGUCCACGCCCUAAACGAUGUCAACUGGUUGUUGGGGAUUUAUUUUCUCAGUAACGAAGCUAACGCGUGAAGUUGACCGCCUGGGGAGUACGGCCGCAAGGUUAAAACUCAAAUGAAUUGACGGGG
rnacentral:rRNA from 1 species